CGGUCUGGCGGCGAGUGGCGGACGGGUGAGUAAUGUAUCGGAACGUACCCAGUAGCGGGGGAUAACUUCUCGAAAGAGUAGCUAAUACCGCAUACGCCCUACGGGGGAAAGGGGGGGAUCUUAUGACCUCUCACUAUUGGAGCGGCCGAUAUCGGAUUAGCUAGUUGGUGGGGUAAAGGCCUACCAAGGCGUCGAUCCGUAGCUGGUUUGAGAGGACGACCAGCCACACUGGGACUGAGACACGGCCCAGACUCCUACGGGAGGCAGCAGUGGGGAAUUUUGGACAAUGGGGGCAACCCUGAUCCAGCCAUCCCGCGUGUGCGAUGAAGGCCUUCGGGUUGUAAAGCACUUUUGGCAGGAAAGAAAUUGCAUGGGUUAAUACCCUGUGUAGAUGACGGUACCUGCAGAAUAAGCACCGGCUAACUACGUGCCAGCAGCCGCGGUAAUACGUAGGGUGCAAGCGUUAAUCGGAAUUACUGGGCGUAAAGCGUGCGCAGGCGGUUCGGAAAGAAAGAUGUGAAAUCCCAGGGCUUAACCUUGGAACUGCAUUUUUAACUGUCGAACUAGAGUGCGUCAGAGGGGGGUGGAAUUCCGCGUGUAGCAGUGAAAUGCGUAGAUAUGCGGAGGAACACCGAUGGCGAAGGCAGCCCCCUGGGAUGACACUGACGCUCAUGCACGAAAGCGUGGGGAGCAAACAGGA
rnacentral:rRNA from 1 species